rnacentral:pre_miRNA from 1 species
UUCAUAGUAGAAAUGUGUUUCAUGGAUUACUUGAGAUAUACUUUUGCUAAUA